rnacentral:rRNA from 1 species
UAGGGAAUCUUCCACAAUGGACGAAAGUCUGAUGGAGCAAUGCCGCGUGAGCGAAGAAGGUUUUCGGAUCGUAAAGCUCUGUUGUGAGGGAAGAACAAGUAUCGGAGUAACUGCCGGUACCUUGACGGUACCUCAUUAGAAAGCCACGGCUAACUACGUGCCAGCAGCCGCGGUAAUACGUAGGUGGCAAGCGUUGUCCGGAAUUAUUGGGCGUAAAGCGCGCGCAGGCGGCCUUUUAAGUCUGAUGUGAAAGCCCACGGCUCAACCGUGGAAGGUCAUUGGAAACUGGAAGGCUUGAGUACAGAAGAGGAAAGCGGAAUUCCACGUGUAGCGGUGAAAUGCGUAGAGAUGUGGAGGAACACCAGUGGCGAAGGCGGCUUUCUGGUCUGUAACUGACGCUGAGGCGCGAAAGCGUGGGGAGCAAACAGG